rnacentral:rRNA from 1 species
GUGGGGAAUAUUGCGCAAUGGGGGAAACCCUGACGCAGCGACGCCGCGUGAGCGAAGAAGGCCUUAGGGUUGUAAAGCUCUGUUUUAAGGGACGAAUGUCGUGGGGAGUAAUAUGCUCUGCGAAUGACGGUACCUUAAGAGGAAGCCCCGGCUAACUACGUGCCAGCAGCCGCGGUAAGACGUAGGGGGCGAGCGUUGUCCGGAAUUACUGGGCGUAAAGAGCACGUAGGCGGGAACUUAAGUCAGGUGUGAAAGACCGGGGCUCAACUCCGGGGUUGAACUUGAAACUGGGUUUCUUGAGGGCAGGAGAGGAAAGCAGAAUUCCUGGUGUAGCGGUGAAAUGCGUAGAAAUCAGGAGGAAUACCAGUGACGAAGGCGGCUUUCUGGACUGACCCUGACGCUGAGGUGCGAAAGCGUGGGUAGCAAACAGGAUUAGAAACCCCAGUAGUCC